UACGAAGGGGGCUAGCGUUGCUCGGAAUCACUGGGCGUAAAGCGCACGUAGGCGGAUUGCUAAGUCAGGGGUGAAAUCCUGGAGCUCAACUCCAGAACUGCCUUUGAUACUGGCGAUCUCGAGUCCGGGAGAGGUGAGUGGAACUGCGAGUGUAGAGGUGAAAUUCGUAGAUAUUCGCAAGAACACCAGUGGCGAAGGCGGCUCACUGGCCCGGUACUGACGCUGAGGUGCGAAAGCAUGGGGAGCGAACAGG
rnacentral:rRNA from 1 species